rnacentral:rRNA from 1 species
CCUUAGGGUGCGAUCUUUCAUCUUCCUUCCUUUUCUUCCCUCUUUCUCCUUCUUUUCUCUCCUCCAGGUGUUAAAUCCCCGGGCUUAACCUGGGAAUGGCGCUUGUGACUGGCGGGCUGGAGUACGGCAGAGAGGAGUGGAAUUCCACGUGUAGCAGUGAAAUGCGUAGAGAUGUGGAGGAACACCGAUGGCGAAGGCAGCCCCCUGGGCCGAUACUGACGCUGAUGCACGAAAGCGUGGGGAGCAAACAG